GAACUGCGAUAAGUAAUGUGAAUUGCAGAAUUCAGUGAAUCAUCGAGUCUUUGAACGCACAUUGCGCCCCCUGGCAUUCCGGGGGGCAUGCCUGUCCGAGCGUCAUUGCUGCCCUUCAAGCCCGGCUUGUGUGUUGGGUCGUCGUCCCCUCCGGGGGACGGGCCCGAAAGGCAGCGGCGGCACCGCGUCCGGUCCUCGAGCGUAUGGGGCUUUGUCACCCGCUCGAUAAGGACCGGCCGGGCGCCAGCCGGCGUCUCCAACCUUUUUUUCUCAGGUUGACCUCGGAUCAGGUAGGGAUACCCGCUGAACUAAAGC
rnacentral:misc_RNA from 1 species